rnacentral:lncRNA from 1 species
UAAUAACCGUCGUUAUAUGUUAUUUGCCUUAAAAAAUUUUUAAAAAAAAGCCGAUAAAAGGAAUAAAGGAAACGCGCAAUCCCUAACCACUCACAUUCGUUGUCUUCUUCUUCAAUUUUCACGAAUUACAAUCACAACGACUCACUCAGUCACACACACCAGCCCUAACCCCACCUAAGCUAUCAAACGCCAAUGCCGCUGCCGCUGUCAAAUCGAUUCAAGUGCUCCGGCGCUGAGUCUAGCCGUCCUUGAGCCGAUUUGCUUCCUUUUUCUGCCGCCGCUGUCAAUCUCUGCCAUUUUUGAGCCGAUUCACUUCCGCAAAACAGCUGCUGUCAUCUCUGCCGACAUUGCCUCUGUGUUCGUUCACCGUCAGAUGCAGUGUUAUUGUGGUGACACUGCCUCCGCUAUCAAGUCAGUUCAAAUUUUCUGGGUGCUAUCUCGAAAAUGUUUGUGAGAUUGUUGCCAAUGAUAUUCUAAAAUUUUGAAUUCAGGGUUAUUGUUUCACCACUGUGAGUUGCUUUCUCCAAUUUUGCAAUUCUUUCCUCUUAAUUUGCUUUGAAAUAUUUGCUCGUUGGAUUUAUUUCCUCUUCAUUUAUUUCGAUUUGGUGAUUUUGUGUUGUGUAGCUUGUACCUUAGUCUCUCCUUUUCCUUUCAUAAUAUUAUAAAAUAUGUCGUGCACUUUGGCCUUUCGUUUCUUGAUUUUCUUGGUUAAUGAAUUUGGAAAAAGAGUGAAUUAUGGGUAAGGGGAUAGAAAAUCACAUUGACAGAAAAGAGGACUGAAACGCCCUGAUUUUUACUAAGUGGAGUUUACUUAUUUGUUAAAAAAAUAAAUUUUAAAUUAUUAAUGAUUUAAUUGUCUUAUGCUUAUUAUAUUGUUCGUAAAAUUUUUGUUACAAGUCCAGCCCAUGAACCUCUUUAUGUUUUAGCAUUUCUUUAUUUAUUUACGAAACGAAAACCAGCGUUCGAAUUCAAAAGUAACAAAACAGAAAAAGGAAGAAAGGAAACAAGAGGAUAACAGGACGUGAGAGAGGAGAAGAGGGAGAAAGAAGAGAAAGACAAGAGAGGCUAGGUGAAGGAUUUGGAUUUAAAGAGAGAGAAUUCAAUUUCAGAGCAAAAUAUUAAAUAUCUGGCUUUUUAAAUUUGUAAGCCUUAUUCAAUUUCAGAGCAAAAUAUUAAAUAUCUGGCUUUUUAAAUUUGUAAGCCUUCUUUCUCAGUUCACUUUAUUCUUUUAUUUUUCUUCAAAAUUCUUGUUUAAAUUGGCAUGCUUGUUGAUGUUGUUAAGUCAUUUCUAAAUUAACUUGCAUGCAUGAUUAAAAUUCUGUUUAUUUAGGUAUUAUGUCAUUGAAAUUAGUCUCAUUUGCCAUGCUUGUUUCAAGUUCCGAUUCUUAUUUGAAAAAAAAAAAAUUUCUAUGUUCGUUCCAUAAUCUGUUUUGGGUAUUAAAGUUGAUACUACCUAGCAAAUUCUAAACUGUAAUGGCUGAUUUCUUCUCUUAUUUUUGUUUAAUCUAUUCAAAUUCAUGUAUAAAUUUACAGGUGUCAGAUAUUUGCCUAAUUAUCAUGUAUGUGUUAAAUUCAUUUUGGGUGAAUUUUUAUACUAUUUAAUCAACUUCAAAGUUACAUGGGUUUGGCCAAUUAUCACAUAAUCUCUUCUUUGACUAUUUGAUUAGAUUUUUGUUCAUGCGUGGCUUAAUUAAUUUCGAAAUCUUCUUACUUGUGAGUGUGGUCAAACCCCAAACAAAUGAAGAAGUCUUCUGGUUUUAUGUCUUAAAUAGAGUGCCUGUAAAUAUAAAAUCGAGAUUGAGCUAAUGAGUGAAAAUGAUGGUACUUGGAUUUUUUGAGGCUCUGUUUUUUUUUCUUUACUUUAAAAGCUAAUUUGUUUAGCUUUACCUUUGAUUUGAAUUUUUUGCUUCUGUUCUUUGCAGCCAACCUAUGAAAAUGGUGAUAAUUGGGCUCCAAUAAAUAUUGAUUUAAUAGGAACCACAUUGGUAAGCCUAGUUGCAAGACAAGAACUACUUUGCAAAGCAUGCUAUGUGUAUAAUUCUGAGCAUUAAGGAUUCAGUUUCUGAACGGCAAGCUUGCUGGCUGGGUAUAAAUGUUCCAAGUGCCAAUCCCACCUUAUGUAAGCACAAAAUAUAGUCUCCAUUUCCUUUUUGGAUUAUAUUUGUUUGUAUAGUUAUAUGAUACUGGAUUUUAAUUUAAGAAUUUGUGCAGUACAUUUUUUUACUGUUAGGAGUUAGUUUGAUCAAGGUUAUUUAAGUACUAAACUGUUACAAUUGAGCUUGUAUGCAUUUAAGUUCUUUAUAUGUAAAUGACAAUUAUAUCAAUGUGUAAUGUAAAUUGAAAUUUGCCAAUGUGGCUUCAAUUGUACAGUUUAGAAUGUGAAAAUAACUAUCUAAAUUUUAAUUUAAAAAAA